GGGCACAUGGUGUAGUUGGUUAUCACGCUCGCUUAGCACUGGAAGCCUGAAUGGCUCUGUCACAUGCGAGAGGUGUUGGGUUCAAUUCCCAAUGCGUCCA